rnacentral:rRNA from 1 species
UAGGGAAUCUUCCACAAUGGACGCAAGUCUGAUGGAGCAACGCCGCGUGAGUGAAGAAGGUCUUCGGAUCGUAAAACUCUGUUGUUAGAGAAGAACACGAGUGAGAGUAACUGUUCAUUCGAUGACGGUAUCUAACCAGCAAGUCACGGCUAACUACGUGCCAGCAGCCGCGGUAAUACGUAGGUGGCAAGCGUUGUCCGGAUUUAUUGGGCGUAAAGGGAACGCAGGCGGUCUUUUAAGUCUGAUGUGAAAGCCUUCGGCUUAACCGGAGUAGUGCAUUGGAAACUGGAAGACUUGAGUGCAGAAGAGGAGAGUGGAACUCCAUGUGUAGCGGUGAAAUGCGUAGAUAUAUGGAAGAACACCAGUGGCGAAAGCGGCUCUCUGGCCUGUAACUGACGCUGAGGUUCGAAAGCGUGGGUAGCAAACAGGAUUAGAUACCCUGGUAGUCCACGCCGUAAACGAUGAAUGCUAGGUGUUGGAGGGUUUCCACCCUUCAGUGCCGCAGCUAACGCAAUAAGCAUUCCGCCUGGGGAGUACGACCGCAAGGUUG